rnacentral:tRNA from 1 species
GCCUCAGUGGUGUAGUGGUCUAACACAUAAUGCCAUGGGUAGGCACGAGACGAAGGUUCGAAUCCCGCCUGAGCCA